UACGUAGGGCGCAAGCGUUGUCCGGAAUUAUUGGGCGUAAAGAGCUCGUAGGCGGUUUGUCGCGUCUGCUGUGAAAACCUCAGGCUCAACCUGGGGCUUGCAGUGGGUACGGGCAGACUAGAGUGCGGUAGGGGGUGACUGGAAUUCCCUGGUGUAGCGGUGGAAUGCGCAGAUAUCAGGAGGAACACCGAUGGCGAAGGCAGGUCACUGGGCCGCAACUGACGCUGAGGAGCGAAAGCAUGGGGAGCGAACAGG
rnacentral:rRNA from 1 species